rnacentral:rRNA from 1 species
GACGAACGCUGGCGGCGUGCCUAAUACAUGCAAGUCGAACGGAAAGGCCCUGCUUUUGUGGGGUGCUCGAGUGGCGAACGGGUGAGUAACACGUGAGUAACCUGCGCUUGACUGUGGGAUAACUUUAGGAAACUGGGUCUAAUACCGGACAGGAGAUUCUGCUGCAUGGUGGGGGUUGGAAAGUUUCGGCGUUUGAGGACGGACGUGCGGUAUUUCAGCUUGUUGGUGGGGAAGUGGCUUACACAUGCAUUGACGGGUGGCCAGCCUGGGAGGGUGACCGGCCACAUAGGGACUCAGGUGCGAGCAGGACGCCAACGGGGGGCAGCGGUGCAGAAUAUUGCACGCUGGGCGGAAGCCGUAUAGAGGGUCGCCGCGUGCGGGAUGUCGGCCGUCAGGUUAUAAACCGCUUUCGCCUGUGACGAAGCGUGAGUGACGGUAAUGGGUAAGAAAGCACCGGCUAACUACGUG